GACGAACGCUGGCGGCGUGCUUAACACAUGCAAGUCGAGCGGAGCGGCGAACGGGCGAGUAACGCGUGAGUAACUGCCCCCCUCCCUGGGAUAACAGUUGGAAACGGCUGCUAAUACCGGAUAGUGGGGGAUGACUCGCGUCCUAUCAGCUUGUUGGUGGGGUGGUGGACUGCCAAGGCGAGGACGGGUAGCCGGCCUGAGAGGGCGACCGGCCACAGUGGCCAGGGAUGCAGGCAGUGUGCAACGGGGGACAGCGGGGGGGAAUAUUGCGCAGUGGGGCAGACCCUGAUGCAGCAACGCCGCGUGCGGGAAGUCGGUCUUGGGGUUGUAAACCGAGUUCAGCUAUGACGCGGUAGUGGCAGAAGAAGCACCGGCUAACUACGUGCCAGCAGCCGCGGUAAUUC
rnacentral:rRNA from 1 species